CUCCUUGAGUGCAGUAUCAUAGCCUAUGAGGUAAAACUGAGACAUAAUUAUUGCUAAUUGAAAACUUUUCCUUAGCCAUUUUACAAUUAACUGGUGACACAGCUGGCCUCUUUGAAUUGUAAUAGAGCUGUUCCUGGC
rnacentral:snRNA from 1 species